UACGUAGGGUGCAGGCGUUAAUCGGAAUUACUGGGCGUAAAGCGUGCGCAGGCGGCUUCCUAAGUCAGAUGUGAAAUCCCCGGGCUCAACCUGGGAACUGCGUUUGAAACUGGGAGGCUGGAGUGCGGCAGAGGGGGGUGGAAUUCCACGUGUAGCAGUGAAAUGCGUAGAGAUGCGGAGGAACACCGAUGGCGAAGGCAGCCCCCUGGGCCAAUACUGACGCUCAGGCACGAAAGCGUGGGGAGCAAACAGG
rnacentral:rRNA from 1 species